CAAGAACAUUAAAGUUUGAACAAGAAAAUUCAAACAUUGCAACCGACUAUGGAAUAACACAGUAAAUUUGUGUAAUUAAGCGGCAUCUAAACAUGAUAGGUUUUACUAAAUUUUCUCCUGUGCAAUUUUAUUACUUGUACUAAAGACACGGAUGACCAUUUGUUUGAAAGAUAAAUGAACAGGCUUUAAAAUAAACCUAAAACCGUUUUAUUAGAAGUAGCAGUCCGAUAGUUAUUAAGCACAAAAUUUGGACUCCGUUUUUUUUAUAAUACACCCUGUAUAUUUAAUGCACACUUUACAGGGUUAAAGUCUUCGUCAAUUAGCUUCCAAUUCCUUAAAAAUUAACCGUUUUUAAAAGGAGAUUUUUUAAAAAGUAGCGUAUUUUUUCGAAAAACUCUCAAAACGUAUAGCGAUCAGGCCUUCGCAAAAAAAAUGCUGUGCCGCCAUAUUGGUUUUAAAAGUUUCGCAAAUUUGCGAAGACAAAUAGUCGAAUUUUACUGGAUUUUUGGCUGUGUCAUGAUGCAAACCAUUAUUGCCAACUAUAAAGAAAGAAAGAUAACAUGGUAAUUGUAAUAGCAUAUAUUUAAUAGCUGUUAUUUGAAUUAUUAUGAUGUAAAUAUGCACGCGUAUCUGACUUAGGAGUGAGCAUUCAAAGCUAUAAUAAUAUUAAACUGA